UUUUACCAUUUAAAACAUAUUUUCUUCCAUCUUAAAUAUAAAAAAAAUGUAAAUGAUGAAUUUUUGUGGUAGCGAUUAGUUAAGUUGAAUUUGGCUAUCAAAAUUCAAAAAGAAAUUCCCGAGUAUAAUACAAUCUUUUUUUUGCUAAGCAUGGUUAUGUUUGGAUUAUAAGAAUAAAUUAAAAAAAAAAAAAAAUAGUCAAUCACAUUUGUUAAGGUAUCAUGCUCUAACUAUGCGGUUGGAAUUUUCUUUUGUUAAAACCUUCACCGCAAAAGAAAUCAUAUGGCUGAUGACAAACAUAAUUCACUAUUAUUUCUUGAGAGCCAACAAAUUUGACACGGCAAUGGCGACGGGAGGGAAACUUGUGCGUUGACUUGUUGGCUAAUUUUGGUAUUUCCAGACAGAGUUUUGUCUGAUGGAAUGUUGUUCCUUCUUUUAUACGAGGAGUUUUUUAGGAAUAGGAAUCAUCCUUUUAGUUUUAGAUUCUCUUAAUAUACUUGGGUAUGGUGGUUGUCAUGUGCUUAUUUGUGUAUAUUUUAUUUAUUUAUUAUUUUCUACUAAUAAUAUUUUGUGUUGCUGAA